AUUGAACGCUGGCGGCAGGCUUAACACAUGCAAGUCGAACGAUGAAACUCUAGCUUGCUAGAGAAGAUUAGUGGCGGACGGGUGAGUAACAUUUAGGAAUCUGCCUAGUAGUGGGGAUAGCUCGGGGAAACUCGAAUUAAUACCGCAUACGACCUACGGGUGAAAGGGGGCGCAAGCUCUUGCUAUUAGAUGAGCCUAAAUCAGAUUAGCUAGUUGGUGGGGUAAAGGCCCACCAAGGCGACGAUCUGUAACUGGUCUGAGAGGAUGAUCAGUCACACCGGAACUGAGACACGGUCCGGACUCCUACGGGAGGCAGCAGUGGGGAAUAUUGGACAAUGGGGGCAACCCUGAUCCAGCCAUGCCGCGUGUGUGAAGAAGGCCUUUUGGUUGUAAAGCACUUUAAGCAGGGAGGAGAGGCUAAUGGUUAAUACCCAUUAGAUUAGACGUUACCUGCAGAAUAAGCACCGGCUAACUCUGUGCCAGCAGCCGCGGUAAUACAGAGGGUGCGAGCGUUAAUCGGAAUUACUGGGCGUAAAGCGAGUGUAGGUGGCUCAUUAAGUCACAUGUGAAAUCCCCGGGCUUAACCUGGGAACUGCAUGUGAUACUGGUGGUGCUAGAAUAUGUGAGAGGGAAGUAGAAUUCCAGGUGUAGCGGUGAAAUGCGUAGAGAUCUGGAGGAAUACCGAUGGCGAAGGCAGCUUCCUGGCAUAAUAUUGACACUGAGAUUCGAAAGCGUGGGUAGCAAACAGGAUUAGAUACCCUGGUAGUCCACGCCGUAAACGAUGUCUACUAGCCGUUGGGGUCCUUGAGACUUUAGUGGCGCAGUUAACGCGAUAAGUAGACCGCCUGGGGAGUACGGCCGCAAGGUUAAAACUCAAAUGAAUUGACGGGGGCCCGCACAAGCGGUGGAGCAUGUGGUUUAAUUCGAUGCAACGCGAAGAACCUUACCUGGUCUUGACAUAGUGAGAAUCCUGCAGAGAUGCGGGAGUGCCUUCGGGAAUUCACAUACAGGUGCUGCAUGGCUGUCGUCAGCUCGUGUCGUGAGAUGUUGGGUUAAGUCCCGCAACGAGCGCAACCCUUUUCCUUAUUUGCCAGCGGGUUAAGCCGGGAACUUUAAGGAUACUGCCAGUGACAAACUGGAGGAAGGCGGGGACGACGUCAAGUCAUCAUGGCCCUUACGACCAGGGCUACACACGUGCUACAAUGGUAGGUACAGAGGGUUGCUACACAGCGAUGUGAUGCUAAUCUCAAAAAGCCUAUCGUAGUCCGGAUUGGAGUCUGCAACUCGACUCCAUGAAGUCGGAAUCGCUAGUAAUCGCAGAUCAGAAUGCUGCGGUGAAUACGUUCCCGGGCCU
rnacentral:rRNA from 1 species